AUGAGGAGAGAAUCCUAAGGCCGGCGGAAGAAGCAUUGUCAAGGAACUCGGCAAAAUGACCCCGUAACUUCGGGAGAAGGGGUGCCUGCGAGAGCAGGCCGCAGAGAAUAGGCUCAAGCAACUGUUUAGCAAAAACACAGGUCUAUGCGAAACCGAAAGGUGAGGUAUAUGGGCUGACGCCUGCCCGGUGCUGGAAGGUUAAGAGGAGAGGUUAGCGCAAGCGAAGCUUUGAAUUUAAGCCCCAGUAAACGGCGGCCGUAACAAUAACGGUCCUAAGGUAGAGAAAUUCCUUGUCGGGUAAGUUCCGACCCGCACGAAAGGCGUAAUGAUUUGAGCGCUGUCUCGACAAUGCAUCCGGUGAAAUUGAAGUACCAGUGAAGAUGCUGGUUACCUGCGCCAGGACGGAAAGACCCCAUGGAGCUUUACUCCAGUUUGGUACUGGGAUCCGGUACUGCAUGUACAGGAUAGGUGGGAGGCUGAGAAUCGGUAACGCCAGUUGCCGAGGAGCCGCUGUUGGGAUACCACCCUUGCAGUAUUGGGUUUCUAACCAGCCGCCGUGACCCGGCGGUGGGACAAUGCCAGACGGGGAGUUUGACUGGGGCGGUCGCCUCCGAAAGGGUAUCGGAGGCGCCCAAAGGUUCCCUCAGGAUGGACGGAAACCAUCCAAAGAGUGCAAAGGCAGAAGGGAGCUUGACUGCGACACCGACGGGUGGAGCAGGUACGAAAGUAGGGCUUAGUGAUCCGGUGGUAUUAAGUGGGAAUGCCAUCGCUCGACGGAUAAAAGCUACCCUGGGAUAACAGGCUUAUCACUCCCAAGAGUUCACAUCGACGGAGUGGUUUGGCACCUCGAUGUCGGCUCAUCGCAUCCUGGGGCUGUAGUAGGUCCCAAGGGUUGGGCUGUUCGCCCAUUAAAGCGGUACGCGAGCUGGGUUCAGAACGUCGUGAGACAGUUCGGUCCCUAUCCGGCGUGGGCGUAGGAUAUCUGAGAGGAGCUGUCCUUAGUACGAGAGGACCGGGAUGGACGGGCCGCUGGUGCACCGGUUAGACUGCCAAGUCUAUAGCCGGGUAGCCAAGCCCGGAAGGGAUAAACGCUGAAGGCAUCUAAGCGUGAAGCCCCCCUCAAGAUGAGAUAUCCCAUCCGAAAGGAGUAAACCCCCUUGAAGACGACGAGGUUGAUAGGGCAGGGGUGGAAGUGUGGUAACACAUGGAGCUGACUGCUACUAAUAGGGUGAGGGCUUGACCU
rnacentral:rRNA from 1 species